CAGUAGUGAUGAUUCCACUCCUUUGGUCCGUGUUUCUGAAACAUGUGAUUGUCUGGAAUAUUCUGAUGCU